rnacentral:rRNA from 1 species
UACGUAGGGGCAAGCGUUGUCCGGAUUUAUUGGGCGUAAAGAGCGUGUAGGCGGCCAUGUAGGUCCGUUGUGAAAACUCGAGGCUCAACCUCGAGACGCCGAUGGAAACCAUGUGGCUAGAGUCCGGAAGAGGAGAGUGGAAUUCCUGGUGUAGCGGUGAAAUGCGCAGAUAUCAGGAAGAACACCCGUGGCUAAGGCGGCUCUCUAGUACGGUACUGACGCUGAGACGCGAAAGCGUGGGAGCGAACAGG